GAUGAACGCUGGCGGCGUGCCUAAUACAUGCAAGUCGAGCGAACGGACGAGAAGCUUGCUUCUCUGAUGUUGCGGCGGACGGGUGAGUAACACGUGGAUAACCUACCUAUAAGACUGGGAUAACUUCGGGAAACCGGAGCUAAUACCGGAUAAUAUUUUGAACCGCAUGGUUCAAAAGUGAAAGACGGUCUUGCUGUCACUUAUAGAUGGAUCCGCGCUGCAUUAGCUAGUUGGUAAGGUAACGGCUUACCAAGGCAACGAUGCAUAGCCGACCUGAGAGGGUGAUCGGCCACACUGGAACUGAGACACGGUCCAGACUCCUACGGGAGGCAGCAGUAGGGAAUCUUCCGCAAUGGGCGAAAGCCUGACGGAGCAACGCCGCGUGAGUGAUGAAGGUCUUCGGAUCGUAAAACUCUGUUAUUAGGGAAGAACAUAUGUGUAAGUAACUGUGCACAUCUUGACGGUACCUAAUCAGAAAGCCACGGCUAACUACGUG
rnacentral:rRNA from 1 species